rnacentral:rRNA from 1 species
AUGCAGAGGGCAUGGGGACUCCACAAGGAAGCAAAAUUCAGUGAUAUAGGCGGAAACAAAUUUGUGGUACACUUUGGCAGUGAAGGAGAUUGGAGGCAUGCUCUUAAUGGAGGUCCAUGGCAGUUUGACUUUAAUGUGGUUGUGAUAAAAGAUUAUGAAGGAAACAUAAGGCCGUCGGAGAUGGUUUUUGACAUAGUGGAGGUUUGGGUUAGGGUGACUGACCUUCCUCUGGAUAACCGAUCAGAGGCGUUUGGGAAGGCAUUAGGAAACUGGCUUGGUACUGUAGUCAAGGUAGAUGUGGAGAAAGAUGGUUUUGCUAAAGGGGUUCAUCUUAGGGUACGUACAAGGCUGUCAAUAUUUGAGCCCCUGGUGAGGGGUUUUAACUUGAAGGAAUUAGUUCAUGGUGUAGAGGGAUGUGUGCCUCCUGUUAAAUCUGAUUCACAAUGGGGGGAGUGGCUCCGUGCGUCUCCAGGUCGCUCAUCCUCUUUCAAGGAAGGGAUGCAGAAGGGAGGGGGUCAUAGCAGCCAAAGUUUUAACAGCGCUCCUUCGAGCGAGAGUGACAGAGGAAGAAUGAAUAGUGGACGAGUCCGAGAUCACCCUACCAAGAGAAAUCCGAAUAGGGACUUCAAUGUCUCAGCUGACUCCGGUACUGGUGGGGACGACAGGAGGGAAUGUGAAGAGGUGAAUAGCCCAAAUAAGCAACGACACUGGCCGGCUGCGGAGAAGGGAAAGGAAUCACGACACUGGCCGGGGGAGGAAGGAAAGAAGGAACCACACACGAAGGAUCUUAGAGAUGAUCUGGAGCAAAGAAGGGAUAAGAAUCCGAGGAACAAACUAAAGAAUAAACAGAUGGACAUGCGUCAAGAACUGAGAAUGAGAUAUGCUGCUAAGAGUUAUAUGGGUGCAGGUGGUUCGGGGCAGUACAUAGAAAGGGAGAGGCGACCCGGGUAUUACGUACGGAGACCAAGUGGAGGGCUGGCAUUAUGGUGGAGGGACAGUAUUCAGGUGAAGAUCAAACCUUGGUGCCAAUAUUUUAUUGAUGCGGAGAUACAGACCGACGGGAAGACCUGUAGAUUCACUGGUUUCUAUGGGGAACCACGAACAGAAUUGAGGAAGUUGUGGGACGCAAUUAGGUAUCUCAGAGAGCAGGAUGACUUGCCGUGGCUAUGUGCAGGUGACUUCAAUGAAGCCAUGUUUCAAGGUGAUCAAUGUGGGGGCAACAUUCGAAGUUUUGCACAAAUGGAAGACUUCCGGGUUUGCUUGGCAGAUUGCGGACUGGUGGACCUUGGGUACUCCGGAUAUCCUUACACAUGGGACAACAAGCGAGAAGGUGAUGAAAAUAUUCAGGUGAGGCUAGACCGAGCGACUUGUAAUGAUGGGUUUGCAGAGUUAUUUCCAGGAACAUCUGUUGAGCAUAUCAUAACAGAGGAGUCCGACCACAUAGCACUUAUUAUCCACGCUUUGGAGACAGCUCCAAGUAACGAUAGAAAGGGACACAGAGAUUUCAAGUGGGAGGAGGCGUGGGUAAAGUAUACAAAAUAUGAGGAGAUGGUUUCAGCUGCAUGGCAUGUAGUGAACAAUGGAGACAGAGGGAUAGCAGCAGUAUGGUCCAAACUAGAAAGAGUGUCAGCGGAGAUGCAACAAUGGGGCCGUACUGUUUUUGGUUCUAUUAGAAAGCAGAUUGGCAAACUUAAAGCACAACUUGAGGAUGCCAAAAGGAGGGCACUUAUAACCGGGUCCUCACUGGAGGUCCGGGAUUUGGAAGGCAAACUGAGGCAUAUUUAUGAAAAAGAGGAGAUUUUAUAUAAGCAACGCUCUAGAGUGGAUUGGUUGGCUGCAGGGGUCCAAAACACGAAAUACUUUCAAAAUAGAUGCUCCCAUAGGAAGAGGAAGAAUACGGUCAAGGCGCUGGUACGAGAGGAUGGCGCAAGAUGCACUACGGAUGAUGGAAUCAGGGAGAUGGCAGCCACGUUCUAUGAAAAACUAUUCAUGUCUGAGGGGAGUAUAAUCUUUGGUUGUGAUCUGCUGAGAGAAGGCACUAUAUGGCGUAUUGGAAGUGGAUCAAAGAUCAAUAUACAUCACGAUAACUGGAUACCGAGGCAGGGAAGCAUGAAGCCACUUGGGCAAGUUUAUGUACACGGGGUGUCCAAGGUACAUGAUCUCUUGACGCCAAGCGGUAAAGAAUGGAAUGAGAGCUUGCUAGAUGACAUGUUCUCACCGGAGGACGCCAAGGAUAUCAAACAAAUAGCUGUUGGGGGUCCAAACAUGGAGGACUAUAUCGCCUGGAAUUAUACGAAAAACGGACAGUUUACAGUGAGAUCAGCCUACCACUUGCGAAUGACGCUAAAUGGGGUGAAGACCGGACGUCCGGGUCCUUCUUCCUCGGUUCAUAAGCAUAAGGGAUGGUUGGGCUUGUGGGAUUCUUGUGCUCCAAAUAAAGCAAAGAUCCACAUGUGGCUGCUCAUGCGGAACAGACUAGCGGUGGGAGCGGAGCUACUAAGGCGACGCAUCAAGCCCCGGGUGUUCUGCACAACAUGUGGGAGAGAAGAGACACUACUUCAUAGGUUUUGUACGUGUCCACAUUCGGUGCUUUUCUGGAAAUUUUUGCGCUCGGAGAAAGGAGUCGCGGUGGCAACACCACCGAGUAACAUUGACUCCUCGAGUGUAUUAUCAUCAUGGCUGUUGGGUUGGUUCGUGGAGGCGGGGGUGGACGACCGGGCAGCAAUGGUUCAGGCUUGCUAUGGACUAUGGAUGGCUUGGAACGAAGCGAAGAACAACAAGAAGAUUGCAGCACCACAUGAAAUAAUGACCUCAGUGUGCGCGCACAUGUCGGAAUGGAGUGCUGUGCAUAGAAGGGAGGCCCCGGAGCGGAAAAUGAAGGAAGCGUUCAAGUGGACAGCACCUGCGGAGGGGUGGAUCAAAGCAAACUCCGACGGAGCGGUGUCCAAGCACGGAGAGAAGGGAGAAGGUGGGGUGAUCUUGAGAGACCACGCAGGAGACUUCCGAGCGGCUGCCUGCCAUUUUUAUCAACACGAAACUGAACCUGAGAUGGUAGAGAUCCUAGCAUGCAAGAGAGCCGUUGAGUUGGCAGCGGAGAUUAAUGUGCGGAAGCUUCACCUAGAGACGGACAACAAGGUUGUGGCGCUGAUCCUACAGAAUGAAGGGAAGAACUUGGCUGCUAUGGACCAAGAAGAAGAGAGACAGAGGAGGAUCCAGGGUGGAGGAGAGGUAGGAGAAGAAGGACGAGGAAGAUGGAAGGGUGCGGCAGGGGUGCAGCGGUGCGAGGGCACUGGUGCGCGUGAGGAGCGCCUCUCCUCGGGAGGAUCAGGGAGGAGCGAGUGA